CCUACGGGGGGCAGCAGUGAGGAAUAUUGGUCAAUGGCCGCAGGGCUGAACCAGCCAAGUCGCGUGAGGGAUGACGGUCCUAUGGAUUGUAAACCUCUUUUGUCAGGGAGCAAAGGGCGCCACGUGUGGCGUUUUGCGAGUACCUGAAGAAAAAGCAUCGGCUAACUCCGUGCCAGCAGCCGCGGUAAUACGGAGGAUGCGAGCGUUAUCCGGAUUCAUUGGGUUUAAAGGGUGCGCAGGCGGAAUGUCAAGUCAGCGGUAAAAUUUCGGGGCUCAACCAUGAGAGUGCGGCGCGAACUGGAGACCUUGAGUGCGCGGAAGGCAGGCGGAAUUCGUGGUGUAGCGGUGAAAUGCUUAGAUAUCACGAAGAACCCCGAUUGCGAAGGCAGCCUGCCGCAGCGUUACUGACGCUGAAGCUCGAAAGCGCGGGUAUCGAACAGGAUUAGAUACCCGUGUAGUC
rnacentral:rRNA from 1 species